rnacentral:rRNA from 1 species
UACAGGGGGGGCAAGCGUUGUUCGGAAUUACUGGGCGUAAAGGGCUCGUAGGCGGCCAACUAAGUCCGACGUGAAAUCCCAAAGCUUAACUUUGGAACUGCGUCGGAUACUGGAUGGCUUGAAUUCGGGAGAGGGAUGCAGAAUUCCAGGUGUAGCGGUGAAAUGCGUAGAGAUCUGGAGGAACACCGAUGGCGAAGGCAGCCUUCUGGGCCAACACUGACGCUCAUGCACGAAAGCGUGGGGAGCAAACAGG